rnacentral:rRNA from 1 species
GACGAACGCUGGCGGCGUGCUUAACACAUGCCAGUCGAACGGAAAGGCCCUGCUUUUGUGGGGUGCUCGAGUGGCGAACGGGUGAGUAACACGUGAGUAACCUGCCCUUGACUUUGGGAUAACUUCAGGAAACUGGGGCUAAUACCGGAUAGGAGCUCCUGCUGCAUGGUGGGGGUUGGAAAGUUUCGGCGGUUGGGGAUGGACUCGCGGCUUAUCAGCUUGUUGGUGGGGUAGUGGCUUACCAAGGCUUUGACGGGUAGCCGGCAUCAGAGGGGGGCCGGCAACGAUGGGACGGAGGGAGGGACCGGGGGAGGACUGGGGGGAGCGGGCGGGAGGCGUGCGGAGGGGCGUGGAGUCGGAGGAAGAAACGGCGUGUGCGGAAAGAGGGGGGACGGGUGGAAAACAGGGGGCGCAGGCGAGGGAGGGUGAGGGACGGGAGGGAGGAAAGAAGCAACGGCUAAGGACGUG